ACUUGAGUAGUUUAAAUAAAAUAGUAAUUUGUGGUUUUAUAGAUGUUUGUGUGCCUCGAGUU
rnacentral:tRNA from 1 species